rnacentral:rRNA from 1 species
UAGGGAAUCUUCGGCAAUGGACGAAAGUCUGACCGAGCAACGCCGCGUGAGUGAAGAAGGUUUUCGGAUCGUAAAACUCUGUUGUUAGAAGAACAAGGACGUUAGUAACUGAACGUCCCCUGACGGUAUCUAACCAGAAAGCCACGGCUAACUACGUGCCAGCAGCCGCGGUAAUACGUAGGUGGCAAGCGUUGUCCGGAUUUAUUGGGCGUAAAGCGAGCGCAGGCGGUUUCUUAAGUCUGAUGUGAAAGCCCCCGGCUCAACCGGGGAGGGUCAUUGGAAACUGGGAGACGUGAGGGCAGAAGAGGAGAGUGGAAUUCCAUGUGUAGCGGUGAAAUGCGUAGAUAUAUGGAGGAACACCAGUGGCGAAGGCGGCUCUCUGGUCUGUAACUGACGCUGAGGCUCGAAAGCGUGGGGAGCAAACAGG